rnacentral:rRNA from 1 species
UACGUAGGGCGCAAGCGUUGUCCGGAUUUAUUGGGCGUAAAGCGCGCGCAGGCGGUCCUUUAAGUCUGAUGUGAAAUCUUGCGGCUCAACCGCAAGCGGUCAUUGGAAACUGGGGGGACUUGAGUACAGAAGAGGAAAGUGGAAUUCCACGUGUAGCGGUGAAAUGCGUAGAGAUGUGGAGGAACACCAGUGGCGAAGGCGACUUACUGGUCCGGUUCUGACGCUGAGGCACGGAAAGCGUGGGGGAGCAAACAGG